AAAAUUAAUAAAUGCAGUCUUAGAGUUUUAUUAACUUCUCUUCCAGUAGGUGGAGCUGUGCCCACCGGGCCAAGCUUCUCCUCUCAAUACGCGGGAACCAAUCACUGUGCCGCAGCUCCUCCUCCCAGACUGGGCGGGUCUCCAAUCCUGAGUGCCUAGGGCGUUUUCUUGUGUCUAGUCACUUCCCCACCUUUCCUCAAGCCAGGCCCUGCUCACCGGUGACGUUCACCACGAUACUGGCUACACACCAGGUCUGCUGCUCCCGGGAGCCCUGUUUUCAUGAACGACUGGGCACACUCUCCCUGUUUGCCAUUCCCUCAGACCCUAACUUUGUAGAGCUUGGGGCUGAGAACCCUCAGCGAAUUUUGCUAGCCCUCCGGUAGCCACGCCCCCAGUAGCUGGUGCAAGAGACCUCAGUUGUCAGCACUGGUGGGAGCGGUAGCCGGGAGUUCCACGCCGCAGGUCCCGCGCCACUCCUGAUUCCCUUGGUCUGGCUAUCGCGCUCACGGGAGAGCUGGGAGGGGCCCUUAAGGUUUCCCCGCUGUGUGGAGAUGGAAGGCUAGGGGAUUACACACCUGUCGCCACUGGUUUCAAUGAAGUUAUCUCCUCCACCGCAUUCUGGUGACAUCAGUUCUCUGCCAUGGUGGCAUCCCAUACAAAUGGCGACCGUUCAUUCCCUUUGCCGGCUGACCAAUGCAACGCGUGGGUCCUGAGUGUCUCUCCCAAGCCCCGUUUCAAUUCUGUGGCCACUGCCUAUGAAGGCUCGGUUGGCAUUAACCUCCGUAGGAUCAGAAGGUCCAACCAGUUGUUUCAGCGGGAUCGUUUAGUGCUGAGUCACAGCAGUUUGUCUGCGAGAAGCAGGCGAACGGGAGCUUGAAUUCAGCCGAUCCGGGCUCGGUGUGUGUUCUGAGAGGCCCAGACUGUUCGCCCCAGAUCCACGUCAGCUCAGCAUUGCCUAGUGAUCCUGAGCAAACAGCAUUUAGACGGUUUACGACUUCCUAUGCCCGUGCAGCUGAAGAGGUCAGAGACUUGAUCUCGCCCGCCGCCAUGUUGGAUCUGUUUGUAUUUAAAUGUGUCGAGAAAAAAGAAAAAACUUUAGAAAUCCCAUACACACCCAGAAUUAGUCCUCCAGGGAUCAGAAUCAUCUAAACUUAUGCUGUGUGGUACACACUGGAUAUUUGUAUCAGUUUUGGGCAUAGUCAGGGAAUAGUCCACUUCCAGUUUGGAGAAAGGGACUAUUUUGUUAACAGUCUCAACAAACCUGCAUUCCCAUCAUAUUCCCCACUUCCUACCCACAACUACCUCUUAUCACACUGGCUUUAGUUUCCAC
rnacentral:lncRNA from 1 species